rnacentral:rRNA from 1 species
UCUCCGUUGGUGAACCAGCGGAGGGAUCAUUACCGAGUUAUCCAACUCCCAACCCCUGUGAAUUAUACCUUUAAUUGUUGCUUCGGCGGGACUUCGCGCCCGCCGGGGACCCAAACCUUCUGAAUUUUUUAAUAAGUAUCUUCUGAGUGGUUAAAAAAAAAUGAAUCAAAACUUUCAACAACGGAUCUCUUGGUUCUGGCAUCGAUGAAGAACGCAGCGAAAUGCGAUAAGUAAUGUGAAUUGCAGAAUUCAGUGAAUCAUCGAAUCUUUGAACGCACAUUGCGCCCGUCAGUAUUCUGGCGGGCAUGCCUGUUCGAGCGUCAUUACGCCCCUCAAGUCCCCUGCGGACUUGGUGUUGGGGAUCGGCGAGGCUGGUUUUCCAGCACAGCCGUCCCUUAAAUUAAUUGGCGGUCUCGCCGUGGCCCUCCUCUGCGCAGUAGUAAAGCACUCGCAACAGGAGCCCGGCGCGGUCCACUGCCGUAAAACCCCCCAACUUUUUAUAGUUGACCUCGAAUCAGGUAGGACUACCCGCUGAACUUAA